rnacentral:rRNA from 1 species
UACAGUGGCGUACGGGUGAGUAACACGUGGAUCAUCUACCUCUUAGUGGGGGAUAUCUUUGGGAAACCGAAGUUAAUACCGCAUAAGCUCGAGAGAGGAAACCUGCAAAGGGCUGAGAGAGGAGUCCGCGGCCGAUUAGCUAGUUGGUAGGGUAAAAGCCUACCAAGGCAUAGAUCGGUAGCCGGCCUGAGAGGGCACACGGCCACACUGGCACUGAAACACGGGCCAG